CUUGGGCUACGUGCUUACCCUGAGGAAUUGCUAUUUAUGAUUGGGGAAGUUGUUCAUAAUUCUCAGUAUGUAUAUUUUUACUAUGUCUUUGUUAUUUAUAUGUACCUGAUUCUUUAUUGCUGCAGGUGGACUCCGUGAUCUCACAAGCACAAGAAACCUUAAAAUCUCUCAUGUUUCAACGUUCGACAUUUGGGGGCAUUAAUUCAAAGCUAAGUAAUGUCAGCAGUCGGCUUCCAACGGUGAAUCACAUUCUCUCGGCUAUAAAGAAGAAAAAGUCCAUGGAUACCAUCAUCCUUUCCUUGCUCGCUGCUGUUUGCACGUUUCUCAUUUUAAUUUACUGGUGGACGAAGUAAGAAAACAUUGCGCGAGUGUACUGGUGGAACCUUGUGACGUGAUCUUUUGCUAGUUAUAUUGUUUAUACAUACCUUGUUAAGCUGUCACAAAUUUUUUGCUUUCUAUACUGGUAUUGGCUUCUCGGACAACACUGUAGCCAUUUUGUUGGCGAACGACACUUUGGUAAAUCUAAUCAGAUCGCAACCAAGUUCAACAAUGGCUUGUUUAUCACUGAUGGGGGCAACGUGC